AUGUCGGACGGGGCCGAGCCGUGCAGCAGCCCCAUGGGCAGAGGCAGCAGGAGGUGCGCGUCCGGGCGAAGAACGGCGAAGAACGAGAAGAGGAUGAGCAUGGAAGAAAGGAGGCAGCGAAUGGAUGAUGGUGGAGGUCGGAGGGGUGAUGUCGGACGGGGCCGAGCCGUGCAGCGGCCCCAUGGGCAGAGGCAGCAGGAGGUGCGCGUCCGGGCGAAGAACGAGAAGAGGACGAGCAUGGAAGAAAGGAGGCAGCGAACGGAUGAUGGGCAGAGGCAGCAGGAGGUGCGCGUCCGGGCGAAGAACGAGAAGAGGACGAGCAUGGAAGAAAGGAGGCAGCGAACGGAUGAUGGUGGAGGUCGGAGGGGUGGCGGCCUCGCCGGAGUGACGAACUCCCGAGGGUGGCGGCGAGCGGGAUCGAGGCGUGUUGGGCACUGCCCCUCCGUUUGUGAUGGCGCUAGGAGGAGAUGGGAUCGGGAGGCUGGGGGAUCGGGCUAG
rnacentral:rRNA from 1 species